CCCUUUGGGGUGUGACUGCGUACCUUUUGUAUAAUGGGUCAGCGACUUAUAUUCUGUAGCAAGGUUAACCGAAUAGGGGAGCCGGAGGGAAACCGAGUCUUAAUUGGGCGUUAAGUUGCAGGGUAUAGACCCGAAACCCGGUGAUCUAGCCAUGGGCAGGUUGAAGGUUGGGUAACACUAACUGGAGGACCGAACCGACUAAUGUUGAAAAAUUAGCGGAUGACCUGUGGCUGGGGGUGAAAGGCCAAUCAAACCGGGAGAUAGCUGGUUCUCCCCGAAAGCUAUUUAGGUAGCGCCUCGUGAAUUCAUCUCCGGGGGUAGAGCACUGUUUCGGCUAGGGGGCCAUCCCGGCUUACCAACCCGAUGCAAACUGCGAAUACCGGAGAAUGUUAUCACGGGAGACACACGGCGGGUGCUAACGUCCGUCGUGAAGAGGGAAACAACCCAGACCGCCAGCUAAGGUCCCAAAGUCAUGGUUAAGUGGGAAACGAUGUGGGAAGGCCCAGACAGCCAGGAUGUUGGCUUAGAAGCAGCCAUCAUUUAAAGAAAGCGUAAUAGCUCACUGGUCGAGUCGGCCUGCGCGGAAGAUGUAACGGGGCUAAACCAUGCACCGAAGCUGCGGCAGCGACGCUGAUGCGUUGUUGGGUAGGGGAGCGUUCUGUAAGCCUG
rnacentral:rRNA from 2 species